AGUGAACGCUGGCGGUAGGCCUAACACAUGCAAGUCGAACGGCAGCACAGUAAGAGCCUGCUCUUACGGGUGGCGAGUGGCGGACGGGUGAGGAAUACAUCGGAAUCUACUUUUUCGUGGGGGAUAACGUAGGGAAACUUACGCUAAUACCGCAUACGACCUACGGGUGAAAGCAGGGGAUCUUCGGACCUUUCGCGAUUGAAUGAGCCGAUGUCGGCUUAGCUAGUUGGCGGGGUAAAGGCCCACCAAGGCGACGAUCCGUAGCUGGUCUGAGAGGAUGGUCAGCCACACUGGAACUGAGACACGGCCCAGACUCCUACGGGAGGCAGCAGUGGGGAAUAUUGGACAAUGGGCGCAAGCCUGAUCCAGCCAUACCGCGUGGGGGAAGAAGGCCUUCGGGUUGUAAAGCCCUUUUGUUGGGAAAGAAAAGCAGCAGGUUAAUACCCCGCUGUUCUGACGGUACCCAAAGAAUAAGCACCGGCUAACUUCGUG
rnacentral:rRNA from 1 species